rnacentral:rRNA from 1 species
AUAUUGGACAAUGGGGGAAACCCUGAUCCAGCCAUCCCGCGUGUAUGAUGAAGGCCUUCGGGUUGUAAAGUACUUUUUGCAGAGAAGAAAAGGUACCUCCUAAUACGAGGUACUGCUGACGGUAUCUGCAGAAUUAGCACCGGCUCACUACGUGCCCGCAGCCGCGGUAAUACGUAGGGUUCAAGCGUUAAUUGGAAUUACUUGGCGUAAAGCGUGUGUGGGCGGUUCGGAAAGAAAGAUGUGAAAUCCCAGGGCUCAACCUUGGAACUGCAUUUUUAACUGCCGAGCUAGAGUAUGUCAGAGGGGGGUAGAAUUCCACGUGUAGCAGUGAAAUGCGUAGAUAUGUAGAGGAAUACCGAUGGCGAAGGCAGCCCCCUGGGAUAAUACUGACGCUCAGACACGAAAGCGUGGGGAGCAAACA